rnacentral:rRNA from 1 species
UCGACGGGAUGCUCGGAAGGAGAUUUCGGUCAACGGAAUGAGCUAUCUAGUGGCGGACGGGUGAGUAACGCGUGAGGAACCUGCCUUUCAGUGGGGGACGACAGCUGGAAACGGCUGCUAAUACCGCAUGACAUAUCUGUGUCGCAUGGCAUGGAUAUCAAAGAUUUAUCGCUGAGAGAUGGCCUCGCGUCUGAUUAGCUAGUUGGUGAGGUAAAGGCCCACCAAGGCGACGAUCAGUAGCCGGACUGAGAGGUUGGCCGGCCACAUUGGGACUGAGAUACGGCCCAGACUCCUACGGGAGGCAGCAGUGGGGAAUAUUGGGCAAUGGGCGCAAGCCUGACCCAGCAACGCCGCGUGAAGGAAGAAGGCUUUCGGGUUGUAAACUUCUUUGACAGGGGAAGAGACGGAGACGGUACCCUGAAAACAAGCCACGGCUAACUACGUGCCAGCAGCCGCGGUAAUACGUAGGUGGCGAGCGUUGUCCGGAUUUACUGGGUGUAAAGGGCGUGCAGCCGGGAGUACAAGUCAGAUGUGAAAUCCCGCGGCUCAACCGCGGAACUGCAUUUGAAACUGUAUUUCUUGAGUACUGGAGAGGCAGACGGAAUUCCUAGUGUAGCGGUGAAAUGCGUAGAUAUUAGGAGGAACACCAGUGGCGAAGGCGGUCUGCUGGACAGCAACUGACGGUGAGGCGCGAAGCGUGGGGAGCAAACAGGAUUAGAUACCCUGGUAGUCCACGCUGUAAACGAUGGAUACUAGGUGUGCGGGGACUGACCCCCUGCGUG